CACGGGGGGUAAAGAGGGAUUAUAGCGUGACAGAUUUUGAACCUCAUGGUUCGCCAAUUGAGAGGCGGCUUCGGCUGUCACUUAUGGAUGGACCCGCGUCGCAUUAGCUAGUUGGUGAGGUAACGGCUCACCAAGGCAACGAUGCGUAGCCGACCUGAGAGGGUGAUCGGCCACACUGGGACUGAGACACGGCCCAGACUCCUACGGGAGGCAGCAGUAGGGAAUCUUCCGCAAUGGACGAAAGUCUGACGGAGCAACGCCGCGUGAGUGAUGAAGGCUUUCGGGUCGUAAAACUCUGUUGUUAGGGAAGAACAAGUGCUAGUUGAAUAAGCUGGCACCUUGACGGUACCUAACCAGAAAGCCACGGCUAACUACGUGCCAGCAGCCGCGGUAAUACGUAGGUGGCAAGCGUUAUCCGGAAUUAUUGGGCGUAAAGCGCGCGCAGGUGGUUUCUUAAGUCUGAUGUGAAAGCCCACGGCUCAACCGUGGAGGGUCAUUGGAAACUGGGAGACUUGAGUGCAGAAGAGGAAAGUGGAAUUCCAUGUGUAGCGGUGAAAUGCGUAGAGAUAUGGAGGAACACCAGUGGCGAAGGCGACUUUCUGGUCUGUAACUGACACUGAGGCGCGAAAGCGUGGGGAGCAAACAGGAUUAGAUACCCUGGUAGUCCACGCCGUAAACGAUGAGUGCUAAGUGUUAGAGGGUUUCCGCCCUCUUAGUGCUGAAGUUAACGCAUUAAGCACUCCGCCUGGGGGAGUACGGCUCGCAAGGCUGAAACUCAAAGGAAUUGACUGCGGCUCGCACAAGCUGUGCAGCAUGUGGGUUUAAUUUCGAAGCACGGCGAAGUAUCCUUACCAGCUCUUGACAUCCUUCUGACAACUCUUAGAGAUAUGGGCUUCUCUUACGAGAGCAGAGCGACAGGUAGGUGCAUGGGUGGUCGUCAGCACCCCGUCCGGGAGAUGUUCGGUUUCGUCCCGCCAAGCUAGCGCAACCCCUUGCAUCGUAGAUUGCCAUUGCCUUCAGCUUGGGGCACUCUAAGGGUGACUGCCCGAUGACCGAACCCUGAGGGUACCGAUGGCGAGUGACGCUCAAAAUCGAUCCAUGCGCCGUAUAGAACCUGGGCUCACCAAGUGGUUUCCAAUGUGUACUACCAUGCCAGUUGGCGAGAGCCUUACGGGGGGGGUUUCCAA
rnacentral:rRNA from 1 species